rnacentral:misc_RNA from 1 species
AAAAACUAAGCUUCAGUUCAUUGUAAACAGCCAAUUCCAUAUCUCAAUGCCAUGCUAUGGGAAUCAACAACAAAGCCUAUUUGUCCUUCACAAUAUAUUAGGUUACAAGAUACCCCUUUUGCACACCUUUUUCAUAAAGCAACUAAAUUAGAUUAGCGCAUCCCAACAAUUGAUUUUAUUUGGAAAUGUACCCAACAAAGAGAUAAAUGACAAAUAAAUAAUAAAAUGAAUUCUGACUUUGAUUCAGAAACUUUUUUCAAUUUAAGAAAAAUAAACUACUGAUAAUUUAAGUUAUUAAAAACUAAAAGAUGUGCAAAUGAAUAAAUAAAUAAAUUUAUAAAAAACCCUAAUUAACAUAUUGAAAUAUAUAUGAAGCCUGGGUAAUUUCCAGUUAGGGGAACGGUACAAA